rnacentral:misc_RNA from 1 species
AAAUCUCAGUCCAAAUGAUUAACUUAAUCGAUAUUUCAAUGAAAUAAACAAAGUAGUAGAAGAUUAGAGCUACAUAAAAAUGAAAUUGCUCCUCCGAGAAAACUAUGGGUCAUGUAUUUCAAUUUUAACGACUUGGCCAUCAUCAAAUGGAUCUCUCUUUGGUGCUGCUGGUGGUGCUGCAACCCUAGGUGGUCCUCUUCCCUUCUUCUUGUUCCUUGGCCUUGCAUUGCCAAAGGAGUGAUUGAACCGCUUGCCUUUCGCCGUCUUCUUAUCACCUCUACCGCAGUAAACCAAUGGGAGAUUUGAAUCGGUGAGAGACGAAAACGAAAUUGAUGGUGAAGGAGAUGCCGCCGUAAUUGAAACGCUGCCGGCGACGGAGUGAGAACGAGAGAAUGAUAAAUUAGGAGAAAGAGAAGCCAUGGAUUGAACAGUAGCCAUAGGAACUGAACCAACUAACAACGACGCCAUUGCAGCAGCUCAACUGAUAGAAUUGAG